rnacentral:rRNA from 1 species
CCUACGGGUGGCAGCAGUAGGGAAUCUUUCACAAUGGGCGAAAGCCUGAUGCAGCAACGCCGCGUGCAGGAUGAAGGCCUUCGGGUUGUAAACUGCUUUUAUAAGCGAGAAAUAUGAUGGUAACUUAUGAAUAAGGAACGGCUAACUACGUGCCAGCAGCCGCGGUCAUACGUAGGAUCCGAGCAUUAUCCGGAGUGACUGGGUGUAAAGGGUUGUGUAGGUGGCAAAAUAAGUAGAUAGUGAAAUCUGGGGGCUCAACCAUUUAGACUACUAGCUAAACUGUUAAGCUCGAGACCGUUAGGGGUAACUGGAAUGUCUGGUGUAGGAGUGAAAUCCGUAGAUAUUAGAAGGAACACCAAUAGCGUAGGCAGGUUACUGGGACGGUUCUGACACUAAGGCACGAAAGCGUAGGGAGCAAACGGGAUUAGAUACCCUUGUAGUC